rnacentral:rRNA from 1 species
UACGAAGGGGACUAGCGUUGUUCGGAAUUACUGGGCGUACAGGGAGCGUAGGCGGUUGGAUAAGCCCUCCGUGAAAUCUCCAGGCUUAACCUGGAAAAUGCAGAGGGGACUGUUCAGCUAGAGGAUGGGAGAGGAGCGCGGAAUUCCCGGUGUAGCGGUGAAAUGCGUAGAGAUCGGCAGGAACACCAAGGACGAAGGUAACCACCUGGGCAUCAGCUGACACUCAUGUGCGACAGCGUGGGGAGCGAACCGG